UACGUAGGUGGCAAGCGUUAUCCGGAAUUAUUGGGCGUAAGGCGCGCGUAGGCGGUUUUUUAAGUCUGAUGUGAAAGCCCACGGCUCAACCGUGGAGGGUCAUUGGAAACUGGAAAACUUGAGUGCAGAAGAGGAAAGUGGAAUUCCAUGUGUAGCGGUGAAAUGCGCAGAGAUAUGGAGGAACACCAGUGGCGAAGGCGACUUUCUGGUCUGUAACUGACGCUGAUGUGCGAAAGCGUGGGGAUCAAACAGGAUUAGAUAC
rnacentral:rRNA from 1 species